UCUCCUGCCAUCUGUUUGUUGUCACUGUUCACAGCAAGACGCAUCACUGUUGCACUCACAUUACUUACUUACAUGGAAAAAUCCUCUCUUCAAGCACAGCUGAGUCGCCUCACGCCGGGGGUGUGGACGGUGUUUUCCCCGUCGGGAAGCGUUUCUGGUUUCUAGGGUGUCAGGACCUGUUGCCGUGGGCGUGUUUUUCUGCCUGCAUGUGCAGCUGUCAGUGCAGUCUGCUAAACAUGAACAUCAAUGUAGAAAGCAAUUGUUUCCGUAUUGCAUUGCAGUUUGUUUGUAAUAUUAUGCAUGACUGAUUGUCCAGUUAAGAGUUUACACAACAUGAACAAGUAUUUUGGUAAGGACACCUUAAAUUAUUUUUUUUUAAGUUUUGUGACAAAAGAAAUGUACUGAGCAGGACAUUUUACAGAUGACAAAUAAACCUAUGUAAGAAAUCA